CAGAUCUCCUCAUCACCUCUGGGACAUAGAUAGACGAUAUGAGUAUGUCAGCAAGAAUGUUACCAUUGGCUGUGAAAAUGUGUCCAGGGAAAUAAAAAUUAGGAGACAUUUUAGAAGCGACAUGGCAACUUAUCUUUAUCUUCUAAACCAAGGAUCUACUUAUCUUUUUGAAUACAGGAAAAAUUCAACUAAGAUUGCCCUCUCUGAACUAUCCUUCAUCAUUGGUAACAGAAUUGACAGAAUGUGUUCUUUAAAACCAGAAUUGAUUAUGUCAUUCCUCAGGUUAGCUUUCUUCAGGCACUCUUCAUACUUUUCAGAUUUCCACAGGGAGCAUAGCUGAUAUUACUGGCUCAGAGCCUCAUGUGUUUUGGGCUUCACAUUUCAUGAAACUACUGCUGUCAAUUUCCAUUGAAUCCUUUCAUAUUAGAACUGAAGUUGCCUCUGCUUAGCUCUAGUCUUCUUUGAGGUAAAAUUUGAGGGUCUUUGGUCACUUGUGAUGGACUAGAGAAGAGGAGAAAGAGCUAAAAGGAAAAUUACUAUGAUAUGGCCUAUCUAGCACUACGGAUGAGGACCAACCAGGAAGUAACACGCUUUGAUAAAUGUGUAAUGAAAAAAUUUACUCGCAGAGGAAACAAGGCUGGAGGUGGCUGGGAGCCAAGAACAUCUGUGUUCCUGGUAUCCCAAAUGUGUGGAAGCAGCAGAUGUAACUGAAUAUAUAAUAGAAACCCUGGCACAAUUCCUAAUAAAGUGGAAAAGACCUCUGGAUAUUAGAGAAAGCUU